GAAAUCUCAUUCUGUAUAGCAACCAUAACCAGGAAGUAGUAUGGUCAACAAAUGUCUCUGCGGAAGUUACAGAUGCUUGUGUAGCUCAGCUCUUGGAUUCAGGAAAUUUGAUUUUGGUCCAAGAUAGAAGUAAAAGAAUUGUGUGGCAAAGCUUUGAUUGGCCUACAGACACUCUGCUACCAGGAAUGAAAUUGGGGUUUAAUCGAAAGGCAGGUAUGUUCUGGUUCCUAACAUCUUGGAGAUCAGCAGA
rnacentral:misc_RNA from 1 species